GAAUACCUCCGCAUCAUGAAUGAGUUAGAACGGAAUGGGAGGGAGCGCACGAAGAAGAAUAAUUAGUUAUUUGUAUUUUUUGUUCUAAGGGCGACUAAUGUUUUGUCGGCCAUGUAACCUAUCGCCCGUACCGAAUGAAUGUAAUCGGCCGAUUUGGACGACUAUGUGUUUGAACCGAUUUGUAUCGGCUAUGUGUUUGAACCGAUUUGUAUCGGCUAUGUGUGGUCGUGUCACGGUUAAUUCCUUACGCUCCGAUCCAUAUACUGGGGUAGUAUCUUUUUAAGUACCUUUC
rnacentral:lncRNA from 1 species